rnacentral:lncRNA from 1 species
CUCUCUCCCCAACGUCUGAAUUUUGCAGACCUUGAGCUUUGUUAUUUGAUUUGUGUUCAAAGAUAGAUUGCUUGUUGCUCCAAAAUCUUAUCCAAAUCAGAAGUAUCACAAUCAAUUCAAAUUUGUGGGAUAUGUUUUCACUCUUUUUCUCAACUUUUUGUCAAGUCCCCAACCACUCCUCGACUAGAAAAGACUCUAUUUUGAAUUUUAAUAGAGAUUUUUCCAAUAUAAAUAGCAGUGGAUGCUUCCAUUUGGGGGCAUUGGCUUUAGAGGAUUCUUGAGGUUUUCUUGGGGGAAAAUUGAGGGUUGUGGAGGUGCGCAACUCUAACCUAGGUAACCAGGAAAAUUCGUCAGAAGUUGUUCGAAUUUCAGUAGCGAAUCGAAACUGCUGUAGACAUUGUUCUGAGUUCGUUUUGUCCCAUCUCGCUGCUCUAAAAAAGGUAGAAAUCUCAUUUUUUCUUUCUUUAUGUCAUGAUCUCAUAGUAACGAUGAAAAUUGGUUGGUCUUGUAUGUGUAAUAUUUGUUUGAUUUUCGGUGAGAACUCUUGGGAUUGAGAAGGUAUAGAACUCUGUUGUGGACGUAUAAAGUUGAAAAGCUUUAAGCUUUGAUGGUCUUCUAUGGUAUAUUCCAAUGUUCAGAAUUUUCAAAUGACCAAAAAAUGAGGUUUCUGUUUCUUUCUCUGUUUGGGGGCGAAAUACAACUAUUAUGCUUCUUUCGGAUUGAGUACUUGGCGUUGUGGAGAAAUGUGAAGUCCCGACUUACAUGUUGCUGCACUCUUAUAAUUUUUCUUGAAUUAAGAUGAGCGUUGAUUAGAACAUAGGUUAUGUUUAAAAAUAUUCCUAGAGUUCGAAUAAAUAUUAUUUACAUGAAUUGGUCUAAUUAAUUCCUGCCUUGGUUUGAUCAAAUACCUUUUAAAAAAUUGGAAGCUUUUCAAGUCUUUUGGUUUACAGUAUCAAAAGGCUCCAAAACUAGGAAUAAGUAAAGUUCUAUGUUCUGGACAGCUUGAGUAUGGUCUACAUUUAUUUUUUAUUUUAAAAAAAAGAAAAAUGAUUCUACUCAUUAUCUUAUUCAAUGUUGGCCUUGUGUAUUUUCUAAAGGGGUGCAGUGAUCUGGAACUUUGCUUGCCAUCUUUUAUGUGGUAUUAAUGUUUAGUUUAUUUAAAGUGAUAACUUUUUUUCUUUUCUCUUAAAUUAGUAAAUUGCAUUAAGCGGUAGACUGCUCGUUUGGAUUAUAGUUGUUUGGAAUCUCGAGCCUCAACUUGUGACAUUCUAGCCUACCUUACAUGAACAUCCUUCUCCCUCAACUAAGCCUAACAUGCUCGAUUAGUGCUCCCGCAUGAUUGCUUGAUUAAAGUUUAGCAUGAUUUCUUGAAGUGUCUAAAGUUAAUUCAAUAUAUUGAAUGGUCAUCUUGGUAAUGUCUUUGAUAUCCUAAGAAUAGUACUAACAGUGAACUAACAUGUCCUUGCUAUGGUCACUUUGUGUGGUGCUUAAGUGAUUUUUACUUCCUUUUUGAAGCCUCCUUGUCAACACAUGUUUUGUUUAUACAUUAAAUCAUUAUGAUGUUCGAAUUAGAUUGAAGUGCACUAUUUACUUCUUUUUCUUUGAUUGGCUUAUCCUUAAAAUGCGAAAGUCUCAAUUCUAACCAUUAUCUCUCCUUUUAUGCAUGAACUCCUGCGUUGAGUCUCUCGGUCUCCCUUCCCUCACAUUCCGUUGAGUUGAAUCUGAUUUGCAUAGAGUCAAAACCUCAGAUCCAAGUCCCAACGGGACUGUUUUGUGCUGGUAUAUAGCAGAUUACACCAUUAUACAGGCUUGGAAAAGGGGACAUGGAAAAGGAAGCUGAUUAUGUAGGUGGAAGGCAAAAUAUGUAUAUAUUUGACCAAUAUACGGUCUUAUAUACGCUGUAUAUACUCAAAAACGCAGCAGCAGGAGAACUGAUAUUCAGUCAGUAUACAGCUGGGUAUACAUUGCAGAAAUGGACCAAAAGUCCAAGAAGAAUAGGCCUAGAAGUUGGCCAGAUUUGAAAAGGGCCAAUCUUUAACUCUUUUUCUCUGUAGUUUCCAUUUUAACUUGUUUAUGUGUAUUUAUUUGAACACUCUAACUAAUUAAUCUAGAUAAAUCCCCUAAACCAUUACCAUUUUAUUUUAUCACGGCUUCUAGUUAAUUCACAAUUUUCUUACCUAAUGUAUCUCACAACAACAAUAACAAAUUCAGUAUAUUUCCACAUAGUGGGGUCUGGGGAUGGUAGAGUGUACGCAGUCCAUACCACCACCUCAAAAGAGGUAGAAAGGCUGUUUCCGAUAGACCCUCGGCUCAAGACUAAUGUAUCUCGUCUAAAUGAAUUAAAAUGGUUACUUUCGAUUUUCCUCCUUAAAACUAAGCCUAAAAGAAAUUGUCAAGUAUUUUAUUAAAAGUGGCAUUUGUUUUGUUCAUAUGACUAGUGAUGAAAGGCUGUUUCCGAUAGACCCUCGGCUCAAGACUAAUGUAUCUUGUCUAAAUGAAUUAAAAUGGUUACUUUCGAUUUUCCUCCUUAAAACUAAGCCUAAAAGAAAUUGUCAAGUAUUUUAUUAAAAGUGGCAUUUGUUUUGUUCAUAUGACUAGUGACCAAUUUGGAUUGAAAUAAUUUCCUUCGAAUCAAGAAAAUUAUUUUUUUCGCAUAAUUUUUAACUUUUCAUAAUUGAUCAAAUGUUUUUUAAAUAUGACACUUUCUUAAU